AAUAAGAUGGCUGAGCAUUAGGCACUAGAUUGUAAAUCUAUACACGGAUUUAAAUCCUUUUAUUA
rnacentral:tRNA from 1 species